rnacentral:lncRNA from 1 species
UUCCUUACAGCAUGCUAGAGAAAAGAAGUUGACAGCUAUACAGUUACUGAUUCUGAUUACUGUACUUUGGAUUUAUUAUUAUCAUAAGUAGUGUUCGAGCUCACAAGGCUAGAAUGUCUUGUGUGCGAAAUAGUGCCAUUGGUUAGUGAAGUUAGCUGACAAUCGUCAUAUCAUACCCAUAGUCUAAGGACUCUAAAGAAGAUAGUGAACCUGCGGUUGUGCUGUCUCCAAUCCCACGAGCCCAAUAGGAAGAGCUAGUCCUCUAAAGUAAAGUAGGCGAAUUCUGGCUAAAUAAAAGAAUUCUUACUUUCACGGCCAUCAAACAUUCCAAGACAUCUCUUCAAG